rnacentral:rRNA from 1 species
CCUACGGGAGGCAGCAGUAGGGAAUCUUCCACAAUGGGCGCAAGCCUGAUGGAGCAACACCGCGUGAGUGAAGAAGGGUUUCGGCUCGUAAAGCUCUGUUGUUGGAGAAGAACGUGCGUGUGAGUAACUGUUCACGCAGUGACGGUAUCCAUCCAGAAAGUCCCGGCUAACUACGUGCCAGCAGCCGCGGUAAUACGUAGGUGGCAAGCGUUAUCCGGAUUUAUUGGGCGUAAAGGGAGCGCAGACGGUUGCGUAGGUCUGAUGUGAAAGCCUUGGGCUUAACCGAUGGAGUGCAUCGGAAACCGGGCGGCUGGAGUGCAGAAGAGGACAGUGGAACUCCAUGUGUAGCGGUGGAAUGCGUAGAUAUAUGGAAGAACACCAGUGGCGAAGGCAGCUGACUAGUCUGCAACUGACGCUGAGGCUCGAAAGCAUGGGUAGCGAACAGGAUUAGAUACCCUGGUAGUC